UACAUCCAACCGUACCGUUGUUACUUCCAAGAGAAAGUAGGGAGAGAUGCCAAAUCAAUGGGUAUGAAAUCCCAGCUAAGACAAGGGUCAUGGUUAAUGCUUGGGCUAUUGGAAGAGAUCCAAGGUAUUGGGUUGAUGCUGAAAGUUUUAAACCUGAGAGGUUUGUUAAUAGUCCAAUUGAUUUCAAAGGCACAGACUUUGAAUACAUACCAUUUGGUGCUGGAAGAAGGAUGUGUCCCGGAAUUGCAUUUGCCUUACCCAACGUUGAAUUGCCUCUUGCUAGUUUACUUUACCACUUUGAUUGGAAGCUUCCCAAUAAAAUGAAGAAUGAAGAACUAGAUAUGACCGAGUCAUUUGGGAUUACUGCAGGUAGAAAGCACAAUCUAUGCUUAAUUCCUAUUACUCGUCGUCUUUAAUAUGUAUUGUCUAAGCAAACAAGUUCAGAAACGACGUUCCUAAUAAAAUUUGUAUUGGUUAUCUUUACGUAUAGGUUCACUAUAUGUUGUCUAAAAUUUGUGUAUGAUAUUUGUUCCACAAACAAAUAUAGAAUUUAUGUUGAAAGGAAGUUGCGAACUAUUUGUACAGUAUUGUGUAAUACAUUAACCAGAGAAGAAUCUUUUCCUUGACUGCCAAGGAAGAAAUCCACCUAAAAUCGAUAGCAUAUGAAGAAUGAAGAAGGGUUGUGAGGCAAUCAACAUCACACAAGUAACUUACCUUAAAAAAAUAGAGAAACAAUAAAUCAAUGAGAAGUAAUUAACAAUGCUUAUAUAGGACCAUAAUCAUAAAUAUAUAAAAAUGCUAAAUCCAUAUUAAUGGUUAUGAAAUCUAAUUCUUCCUCUCUGUUAAUCUUGUACUUUACACUAAUAGUGGUAGCUUUCCCUAUAUGGGUCUUAUAACAAUAACAUAAAAAACAUAAUGCUAUGUUCGCCAGUUCAUUUUUACAACAGAAGCAUUUGUAUCAUUAAAUCUAAAUAUGAAAAAGAACAUUCUUGGAGAAUCUUUGCAAAAAGGGUAGAUUAAAGGCUUGUUGAAUCCAAUGAAUUUUCCAGCACCAUUUCAAAGUUUUCAUUUAGUCCAAUGAGAGAUCAACAAUGCAUCAUUUACAAAAAUUGUAUAUUGAGAAUGUGAUAUAUAUAUAUACACGAUGCAAUAAACACUUGCCAACUGUAUUUUGAAAUCUUCGCUAUGCUAUCUCUCGCUGUAAAUAGCAUUUUCCUAUAAUUAAUUUGGCAUAAAAGUCUAAUCAUGAUUAUGUUUCGUGUGAUACAUGAGUGCUUGGAAAGAUUAGUGUUAGGAAAGAGUGAUAUUACAAAUGAGUGAAUCAACCCACUAAUGGGAUGGUUACAACCAUAUAUACUACUACAAGACUAAUACUAAUUGUGUCUAAACUAUAUCUCUAAUAAUUAGUGAUAGUUGAGAUGAAAGUUUUCUCAACUAUCAGAUCUUCUUUCUUAGAUCACCCUUUGAUCUUUACAUAAGAAAAAUGCUAUUUACAGCGAGAGAUAACAUAGCGAAGAUUUCUAGAUACAGUUGGCAAGUGUUUAUUGCAUCGUGUAUUUGUUUACUUCCUAUUUUUCAGCCACACCUCCUUGAAUUGUGUCAAAUAGCACAUUGUGAUUGGCUGCUCUUUAUUCUUGAAGAGAUCGUGAUGUUAUUUUUCUAGAGAUAUAGCAUUGCUCUUAAUUAUGUUCGCAUAGUAGCCCUGUCUCUUUUGAGGCAAGGGCGAGGGUUUGGUUGUUGCUCUCGUAGUUGCACUCUUAUCCUUUGAAGUUGAUAAAUGAAACCAACUUCAAUUGACAACAUAAUGAAAGCUCAACAGACAUAAGCAUAAGGUGUUUUGGAAAGUGGCCAUAGUCCAAAAUUAAUUCAGUUUUUUUUUUUAUUUCUUUUCCGGUAAGAAUGAUUGAUUUGGUGAUAAUGACAUGACAUAUAAUUACAAGUCUAACAAGACCCUAUUUGAAAAAAGAUAGAUUACCAAAUGGAGUGCUGAAAUCACUAGUGUCUUUUGGUUUAACUAUGUAGUGUUACUAUUAAUUUUUACUAUUUUUACACUAAGCUCUUCAAAAUGUUAGUGGAUGAUUUUUUCAUGUGCAUAAUACAAAAAAUAUGAAAUUUGCAUGAGUCAGCCUAAAAUUGAAAGGAUCAAUUUAAUAAGCCCUUGAAGACGGGAAGAUGACAAUCGAGUCUGGCAUGGUGUGCUGCAAUUUAAUUAACUCUUAAUCGCAAAUUAUUAAUGUGAUGGUGUUGUUUGUUUUAUUUUGACUCCACUAAGUACACCUUGUUCUUUAUAUGUGUGUGUCUUUCUACUAAGUUGCUUUGGAUUGGAUGGUAUCAAUAUUUUUUAAGUAUAUGUGCUUAGGUUGUUCUAUUUUUGACCACACAAAGCACACCUUAUGAUUCAUGUGUGUCUUUAUUAAAUUGCUUUGCAUAUAUUAAAAGAAAUAAAAAUAAACAACAGGCACAUGGUUGGUGCAAGGAGAAAAUGUUAUUUAACAUGUCUGCAUUAUAUUGAAAUUGCAAGUGAUCUAAUUUUGAGUGUUUUGCAUAGAAAUCUUCUUUGUCAAGGCACUCUUCAGAUUCUCUAGAUCAAGCUACCAUCAUGGAGCUUCAAAAUCCUUUUUCGAAUAUCAUCUUCAUUCUCUCCUUUCUCAUCCUCUUAGUUCUAUUCAAAAUAGUUCAAAGAUGGAGUUUUAACAAUUCGACUACCAAAUUGCCACCAGGACCAUGGAAACUACCCCUCAUAGGAAACUUACAUCAGAUUAUCAGCAGAUCAUUGCCCCAUCAUCUCUUCAAAAUUUUGGCAGAUAAAUAUGGACCUCUAAUGCACCUUAAACUAGGAGAGGUACCAUACGUAAUAGUUAGUUCACCAGAAAUUGCCAAAGAGAUUAUGAAAACACAUGAUCUCAACUUCUGCGACAGGCCAAACCUUCUUUUGUCCAAUAUAUAUAGUUACAAUGCUACAGACAUUGCCUUCGCUGCAUACGGUGAACAUUGGAGGCAAUUACGAAAGAUAUGUGUUAUAGAGCUAUUAAGUGCAAAGCGUGUACAAUCAUUUAGGUCCAUAAGAGAAGAUGAGGUGUCAAACCUUGUUAAAUCAAUAACUGCAAGUGAAGGAUCAGUUGUUAAUCUCACUCGGAAGAUUUUCUCAAUGACAAAUGGGAUAACAGCGCGGGCAGCUUUUGGGAAAAGGAAUAGACACCAAGAUGUGUUCAUACCAGCAUUGGAGAAAGUAGUGGUGCUAUUAGGAAGAUUUGAAAUUGCAGAUUUGUAUCCUUCUAUUAAAUUGCUUCAAUGGAUGACUAGGGAGAAGACCAAAAUGGAAAAACUUCAUACAGAGAUUGAUAUGAUAGCACAAGACAUCAUCGACGAUCACAGAAGUAUUCACAAGGAAGCAAGCAAUGAUGAAGAUCUAGUAGAUGUUCUUCUCAAGAUUCAACAGGAAAAUUAUCACUCAGAACAUCCUUUAACCGAUGACAAUAUGAAAUCAAUCAUCCAGGUUAGUCUAAACCGAAAGUGUUAGCAAGUUUAUUUCACAAUUUAAAAACUAGUUUACAAAUUUGCAUACGCUUAGAAGUCAGAUUUCUAGAGGAAAAAUAAAUAAGAUUAUCUUGAUUAAUAAUGCUCAUUCCGUCCCUAUAUCUAAGCAGUAAGCACCCUUUUAUUAGAGGGAAAGGGUGCUUACAUACAGGGACGGGGGGAGUAGUAUUUUGGAGAGACGUCAAAUUAAUGACUUAACUAUUGGGUAGCGUUGUAUGUAAUGUUAAUGUUAAUCCAUUUGUAGGACAUGUUCCUUGCUGGUACCGAAACAUCGUCACAGGUUCUGUUAUGGGCGAUGUCUGAGAUGGUGAAGAACCCAAAGGUAAUGGAAGAAGCACAAGAUGAAGUAAGUAGAGUGUUUGAUAAAAAGGAGUAUGUGGAUGAGACAGAGUUGCACCAAUUGAUAUACUUAAAGUCCGUCAUCAAAGAAACAUUGAGGUUGCAUCCCGUUGCACCAUUGUUAGUUCCAAGAGAAAGUAGGGAGAGAUGCCAAAUCAAUGGGUAUGAAAUCCCAGCUAAGACAAGGGUAAUGGUUAAUGCUUGGGCUAUUGGAAGAGAUUCAAGGUAUUGGGUUGAAGCUGAGAGUUUUAAACCUGAGAGGUUUGUUAAUAGUCCAAUUGAUUUCAAAGGCACGGACUUCGAAUUCAUACCAUUUGGUGCUGGAAGAAGGAUGUGUCCAGGUAUUUCAUUUGCCAUACCCAAUGUUGAGCUGCCUCUUGCUAAGUUACUUUAUCACUUUGAUUGGAAGCUUCCCAAUGGAAU
rnacentral:lncRNA from 1 species